CAGUCGCCGCGGUAAUACGUAGGUGGCAAGCGUUGUCCGGAAUUAUUGGGCGUAAAGGGCUCGCAGGCGGUUUCUUAAGUCUGAUGUGAAAGCCCCCGGCUCAACCGGGGAGGGUCAUUGGAAACUGGGAAACUUGAGUGCAGAAGAGGAGAGUGGAAUUCCACGUGUAGCGGUGAAAUGCGUAGAGAUGUGGAGGAACACCAGUGGCGAAGGCGACCCUCUGGUCUGUAACUGACGCUGAGGAGCGAAAGCGUGGGGAGCGAACAGGAUUAGAUACCCGUGUAGUCCCUGUCUCUUAUAU
rnacentral:rRNA from 1 species